GUCUAUGGCCAUGCUACCCUGAACAAGCCCAAUCCCGUCUGAUCUCGGAAGCUAAGCAGGGUCGGGCCUGGUUAGUACUUGGAUGGGAGACCACCCAGGAAGACCAGGUGCUGGAGGCA
rnacentral:rRNA from 1 species